rnacentral:misc_RNA from 1 species
GAAAUGCGAUAAGUAAUGUGAAUUGCAGAAUUCAGUGAAUCAUCGAAUCUUUGAACGCACAUUGCGCCCGCCAGUAUUCUGGCGGGCAUACCUGUCCGAGCAUCAUUUCAACCAUCAAGCCCCCGGGCUUGUGUUGGGGACCUGCGGCUGCCCGCAGGCCCUGAAAACCAGUGGCGGGCUCGCUGUCACACCGAGCGUAGUAGCAAUCACCUCGCUCAGGGCGUGCUGCGGGUUCCGGCCGUUAAACAGCCUUACAAAACCCAAGGUUGACCUCGGAUCAGGUAGGAAGACCCGCUGAACUUAAGC